rnacentral:tRNA from 1 species
GGACGCUUAGCUCAGUUGGUAGAGCGUCGCGUUUACAUCGCGUAGGUCGGGGGUUCGAGUCCCUCAGCGUCCA